ensembl:lncRNA
AGACUUCAAAAUGACCUCUCGACUCUGAUAAAUGUGGGCAAGAAUGUAGUAGAACCAAUUGUCAGUAGCAUUGUCUACCAAAGGUUUGGGACAGAGGUUUCAAAGUCAAAUGUCUUCAGGGUCCAGGGCUUUGCCACCUGCAUAACAUCUGGUUUGAACUAGGAGUUCUAUGCCCUAGCCCCACUCUCAUCAACUCUCCCACAAAAUUAUCCUUUGAACAAGAGCUUGCCACCCCAUCACAACCAGCAGAGCGGAAGUCCACUGUACAAAGACACCCAGUAAAAGACAAAGACCUCUGAGUGGACAGCACUGGCUACCAGUUAAUGGGCUUCUUAGGAAAAGGAAGUAAAGACUGAUGUAAGACUGUGAGAGUGGCUAAAUGGGUGAAGGACGGCUCUCCCUACCUUUCUCAUUGUGUGAUAUUGAAGGACCCCACAAAGAGAGCUUCUACCUCAAGAAGUCUGAUGUCUGCAUAGGGGAGACAUGC